CCUACGGGGGCUGCAGUGGGGAAUAUUGGACAAUGGGCGAAAGCCUGAUCCAGCCAUGCCGCGUGUGUGAAGAAGGCCUUCGGGUUGUAAAGCACUUUCAGUGGGGAAGAAAGCCUUGGGGCUAAUACCCUCGAGGAAGGACAUCACCCACAGAAGAAGCACCGGCUAACUCCGUGCCAGCAGCCGCGGUAAUACGGAGGGUGCGAGCGUUAAUCGGAAUUACUGGGCGUAAAGCGCGCGUAGGCGGUCUGAUAAGCCGGUUGUGAAAGCCCCGGGCUCAACCUGGGAACGGCAUCCGGAACUAUCAGGCUAGAGUGCAGGAGAGGAAGGUAGAAUUCCCGGUGUAGCGGUGAAAUGCGUAGAGAUCGGGAGGAAUACCAGUGGCGAAGGCGGCCUUCUGGACUGACACUGACGCUGAGGUGCGAAAGCGUGGGUAGCAAACAGGAUUAGAUACCCCAGUAGUC
rnacentral:rRNA from 1 species